UGGUCAAAAAUGUAUGACUCUAGAACUUUUAGACCCUGAGGCAUGUGAUACCUUUUCGGAAAGCCCAAAGAGAGCUCUCCGAUGAAUAAGGAAGGAAAAUGGAAUUCUUCUAUAGUUUUUUUUUUCUACUCCAAAGUUUGACCUUAAUGUACUUUUUCGGGUCUUUUGUAAUCUUUGCUAUAUUACAGGGCGAAAAUUAUAUGUUCGGACAUUGUAUUCGAAUGUUUUGCAUGUAUCAAAGCUCUUAUAAACAAGAUAGGGUAUUCCUACAUAGCUGGUGGGACCCACGCCAAAUCGAUCAUAAAGUUUUCAAAAAAGAAUAGAUACGAUUGCAUUGCAUGUAGUUACGGAUGCGAUCAUACCAGCACUAAUGCAUCAGAUCCCAUCAGAACUCCGCAGUUAAGCGUGCUUGGGCGAGAGUAGUACUAGGGUGGGUGACCUCCAGGAAAGUCCUCGUGUGUCAUCCCUCUUUUUUUUUGGUUUUUCUCUUUUUUUUUGUUAAAAAUGUAUGACUCUAUAACAGACUGUGAGGCCAAACUUGACAUGUGAUACCUUUUCGGAAAGCCCAAAGAGAGCUCUCCGAUGAAUGAGGAAGGAAAAUGGAAUUUUUCUAUUGUUUUUUUUCCUACUCCAAAUUUUGAUUUUAAUGUACUUUUUCGAGCCUUUUCGUUAUCUUUGCUAUAUUACAGGGCGAAAAUUAUAUGUUCGGACAUUAGUUUCAAAUAUUUUGCAUGUAUCAGACCUCUCAUAAACAAGAUAGGGUAUUCCUACACAGCUGGUGGGACCCACGGCAUAUCGAUCAUUAAGUCUUCAAAAAAGAAUAAAUACGAUUGCAUUACAUGUAGUUACGGAUGCGAUCAUACCAGCACCAAUGCACCAGAUCCCAUCAGAACUCUGCAGUUAAGCGUGCUUGGGCAAGAGUAGUACUAGGAUGGGUGACCUCCAGGAAAGUCCUCGUGUGUCAUCCCUCUUUUUGUUUUGUUAAACAUGUAUGACUCUAUAACUUUAAGACCGUGAGGCCAAACUUUACAUGUGAUACCUUUUCGGAAAGCCCAAAGAGAGCUCCCCGAUGAAUUAGGAAGGAAAAUGGAAUUCUUCUAUAGUUUUUUUUUCUACUCCAAAUUUUGACCUUAAUGUACUUUUUCAGGCCUUUUCGUAAUCUUUGCUAUAUUACGGGGCAAAAUUUAUAUUUACGGACAUUGUUUUCGUAUAUUUUGCAUGUAUCAAAGCCCUUAUAAACAAGAUAGGGUAUUCCUACAUAGCUGGUGGGACCCACGGCAAAUCGAUCAUAAAGUCUUCAAAAAAGAAUAGAUACGAUUGCAUUGCAUGUAGUUACGGAUGCGAUCAUACCAGCACUAAUGCACCAUAUCCCAUCAGAACUCUACAGUUAAGC
rnacentral:sRNA from 1 species